AGGAAAACAAUGUCAACCGCGACGCACAAGCAAAGCGACGAGACGAGCGAGAAUGGCUUUGCGAAAUGCUUCCGACUCCCCAAACUUAUCUCGAAACGAAUAAAUAAACUGUUUUUAAUAUUUGCAAACGACAUAAAAAUAUAGGUUAUAUUGUUGUAUGGUAAGAAUUAGUAUGAGUGACGACAUGAGUAGUACAUGCGUGUCGCCGUUGCUGCGCUUAGCCGUGACUUUAGAGUUCUUGUCUUCAGAAACUUACCAAUGGCUGGCUUGUAGCAAUAAGUGUUGCACAAACUACGUAAGCAGCUAUUGUAUCAGAUGUGUUGAAAGAAUUGGAAGCAACACUUUGUGUGGAGUGGAUCCUAUGGACCGUAAACGAGGACACAAAUGUGUGGCUUUACCAGAAAUUUGGUAUACCAGGCAAUGUGUUGAUGGAACACACGCUCUUCAAACACGGCGAAAAUGAAGAAAUUUUCAUUAAUUCGAAAGGAAAAUUCAGCCUUACCGAAAUGGUGGUUUACGAGCAUGAAAUGAAAGUCAAGGCACUUAAUUUUAAACUUCCCGGAUAUUGCCAAGGUUCGCAUGUGAGGAAUCACUCCGAUGAAACACUUUUACCUGGAAUAUCAUUGGACCGGUCAUUAUAGCAACGCUUGCCUGCUAGUUUGGUAGCGUGGCUGCCCAUUGUGUUUACCAUUCGAGAGUUUUUAAACCAAAAAUGAACACGACGCCUCAUUGUGGCUCCUAAUGGAUUUAUUUUAAUAUGAAUAAAUUUUUACAUAUCUGUCGUCGGGGUAUACGGUCCCGUUAAUAUUCUUCUCCCACAAAAUAAAAUGAAAUACUCAUUGGCUUAUAGUUAACAUAUACAUGCUUAAAUAAAAAUCGUGAGUCGAUUUACCUAUGUAUAUCUUUCGUUGAUAUUCUUAUGUCACCUGAACCAGCCAAAAAGAGCUAUGAAAGAUGCCCACCCAAAAGCACUCGUCCCAAUUAAAUAAACACAGAGUAAUUAUUUAUGCGUUGAAAUCGCCAUCGAAGAUCCACAGGCAUGUACAUUCCAAAUCAGUGUAAGGGUUCAAAAUUCGUACAGUUCUGCAUUUUUCAAAUAUUGACAAUUGCAAAAAUCGAGAUAUGAAAUUAUCAUAAAGGAAUUAUAAAAACAGAUGUGAUUUGUUUCCAAACCAGAAAAAAAUUUGCAACUUACCACUUGCAACGACUACCGAUCUAAAAUGUUAAAGCAAUAUUACUAAAAAUGCAAAAAAUGACCAAAAACAUCACACAAAAAAGAUAUUAUCGCAAGGAAAAUUGAAUAGUUACAUUAUUUCUCAGCCAGCAGAUAUAAAGUAAACACCAAGACUGAGGUAAAAUACUCGUCAAUUUGGGAUCUCAAACAACACUGGUACUAUUUCCGGUUAAUUGCAGCAAUAACUAAUUUACUACGAAAAUCUAAACGAAAUCAAAAUGGUCACCUGUUAAGGUGUUCGUAUCAUUUGUUUUAAAUAAAGCACAAGAAAUAUAAGCGAAAAAACUGUUAAAAAGAUAUUAUUGAUUUUUUGCUUUUUAAGAGGGAAAACCACUGUAAGUUUUUCACAAUACAUUUUUUUAUUAGUUUAAUAGAUGCUUUAAAUCUUCUAGAAUAUACAGAAGAGAAGAAUUCAUUACGUGCUGCCCACAUUACCGUAUCACCUCCCUGCUGGGAAGUUAGAGACCAACAUAUUACCUUCUCUGAUGAGCUAACGGAUGUCUUCAGAAAAUGUCUUUAAAAAUAUGUUCAAACCAUAACACUGUAGCUUCAUUAAGAUUACCAUUGCACUGAUAUAACUUCGAGAUCGAUCUGAAAGGAAGCAGUACUUCUGCCAAGAAAUUGAAAGUGUUUUAUGAAGAUUGUAAAAUGGAUUCGGCUAUAGGAGUAGUUCUUUGUUUUACCGCCUUCCUUACUUCGCAGAGUGGAACGCAUUCGAUUCCGUCUUUUACAGAUGCAGCUAAAAGGGGUACAUUCAUGCAAACAAUCGUGGUGGAAUGGGAAUCACAAAGAAUAUGUAAACACUUCAACGUCCUGUAAUUACAGACUAAUGAAAAUAAUUAAAUAAAAAAAUUGACAAACAUGUAUCUAUAACACAUUACAAAACUUCAAAUCCUCUUUUUCUACAAAAUCACGAUUAUUCACAACGCCUUGCAACACACCUCUCACAAU